GUUUGAAAGGCCUGCAGAUCGUCAGAAAAAAUUCAAUUGAUUCUUUGCCGUGUAGCCACCGUUGUGCACCAGACACUUUCAUGCCAAUAAAAUGCCUGUGAGGCUUUAGGAUUCAUUGUCUUCUGCGUCGUUCUGUUUCAUUUUUGCACGUUUAGGAAUCAGAACGUUGCUUUUUCACGUUGCUGAAUCUAGAAAUUAUGUGAAUACCUAUAAACAGGGAUGAUCAAGCGGCUUUCGGUGUCCGGUGUUACUCUACCGGUCAGAAUGCAGCGGUUCAUGCAAUGCGUAACUAUGCUAACAGCAUCUAUGAAUAUAACAAGGUCCUAGACGAACUGAAUUAUAGCAAGCGGUAAUUGUCGCAUCUUUUAACUGUUUAUUUUUUCUUAUUUAUUUAAAUCCUGCAUUCUAGUACAAUCUCCUCCACGUCUGCUGACAUAAACUGAUUAGGUCGUUCUCACUUGUUAAGUACCUGCAGGUCGUACUUGAUGCGGGAUGUGUAUGAAGAUAUGCAACUGGAUGGAGUACGGCCAAUCCGCAACACUUUCCACACUCUAAUCACUGGUUGCAUGAAAAGUCAAAGACUGCAGGAUGCUGUUUAUUUUUUUGAUGAAAUGAA
rnacentral:lncRNA from 1 species